rnacentral:lncRNA from 1 species
CGUGAUUGAUAGUCUGCUUGCACAUUUUGGGUAGUGCCACGAAACGUCUUAAAGAGAGCGACCUGGUCGUGACUCAGCCAGUAAGUAUUAUUUCGUGUCAUUUAGAAUUGUUGCAAGCUACGGUAACAACAUAGGCAAAGACAAUGAAUGUUAGAACUAACUGGAUGAAAAAUGCAGUGUGUGGAAGGGAUGCAACAUAGACCAAUAGAGGAUACACCAAGGGAAAUCUGAAUUCAUAUAACAAAGGUUCUUGGAACAAGUCCACAAACUCAAGGAAGUUUUGGACUCAUUGCAAGACACCACGACGGGCUAUUGAAAACUGUUAAGAAUUCAUGGAUUUCUUCCCAACUUUCAGUUUACCAAGAAUCAACAAGUUACCUCUGCCAUUUAUGGACAUGAGCAUGACCAACAAAAGGAGGAUGACACUACCAAUGAACUAACUAAGGAGAAAUAUCAGAGUCUCAUCAAUAUACUGCAACAAAAGAAUAGCCAAAAGAAAGAUUCAUCCAAUGCUAAAAAUGUGAUCAACACUCUAUCUACAACUUCCUUAUCCAAGGAUCAGCAUGAGGAAGGUAAUUCUAUAUCUCAAUGGAUAUUGGAUAGUGAUG